rnacentral:rRNA from 1 species
UACGUAGGGGGCGAGCGUUGUCCGGAAUUAUUGGGCGUAAAGAGCGUGUAGGCGGUCCGGUAAGUCCGCUGUGAAAGUCCAGGGCUCAACCCUGGAAUGCCGGUGGAUACUGCCGGGCUAGAGUCCGGAAGAGGCGAGUGGAAUUCCUGGUGUAGCGGUGAAAUGCGCAGAUAUCAGGAGGAACACCGAUGGCGAAGGCGGAUCUCUGGGCCGUAACUGACGCUGAGGAGCGAAAGCAUGGGGAGCGAACAGG